UCUAGGUUUUCUUUGGGAGGGGAGGGAAGUUUUUAAUGAUUUAGGGUUGGGGGGGAGCCCAAAGGAGGAAAAGAAAUCAUGUUUUUCUCUAUCGAGGUCUUCCUUCAGAGAAAGAAAAGGUGGUUGGGUGGGACAAAAUCUAGGUUUUCUUUGGGAGGGGAGGGAAGUUUUUAAUGAUUUAGGGUUGGGGGGGAGCCCAAAGGAGGAAAAGAAAUCAUGUUUUUCUCUAUCGAGGUCUUCCUUCAGAGAAAGAAAAGGUGGUUGGGUGGGACAAAAUCUAGGUUUAUUUUGGGAGGGUCCAAAGGAGGAAAAGAAAUCAAAUUUUUCUCUAUCUCUGUUCAGAGAAAGAGAGAAAAGGGGGUUGGGUGGGAUAAAAUCUAGGUUUUGGGGGAGAGGGAGGGAAGGUUUGAUGAUUUAGGGUUGGGGGGGAGCCCAAAGGAGGAAAAGAAAUCAUGUUUUUCUCUAUCGAGGUCUUCCUUCAGAGAAAGAAAAGGUGGUUGGGUGGGACAAAAUCUAGGUUUAUUUUGGGAGGGUCCAAAGGAGGAAAAGAAAUCAAAUUUUUCCCUUUCUAUCGAGGCCUUCCUUCAAAAAGAGAGAGAGAGAAAAUGAGGUUGGGUGGGACAAAAUCUAGGUUUAUUUGGGAGGGGAGGGUAGAUUUGCUGAUGGUUUGGGGUGGGGGGGGGGGGGGGGGUGUGGCCGAAAAGAGGAAAAGAAAAGAAAUCAAAUUUUCUCUCUCUAUCAAGGGCUUCCUUCAGCCCCUCACUCAGAGCAAGAGAGAGAAAGGGGGUUGGGUGGGAAAAAAUAACAAAUCUAGGUUUGGGGAGGGAUGGGUGUAAUCCUUUUUGAGAGAAAGCUGCCUCCUCCAAAUCUAUUUUGGGCCAACCCUGAGCGGGAAUUGUCCAGUAUCCGAUUUGGACCAGCCUCUUUUAUUUUUUUGUUUGUUUGUUUUGAGAGGAAAAUUGUGUUGAAAAUCCAUUUGGAGAGGCAACCAUGUCUCAAAGUUCAUUUGGGGGGUGGUGGUGAGAGAAUUGUGUUGCAAAAGCCAUUUGGGAAAAUUUUGAGGGGAAGAAUUGGUUUGAAUAGAAAACUUCUUAAAAUCCAUUUUGGGCCAGCCUCUCGCUUUGAGGGGAAAAUUGCGCCGCAAAGUCCAUUUGGGGAAAUCUUUGGAUAGCAAACCAUGUCUUGAAAUCCGUUUCAGGGGAAUCUUGGAGGGCAAAUUGCAUUGAAAAAUCCACUUGGGAGACUUGAGCAGAUUGUCUCGAUUGAGAAUUCAAAGUCUGAAAUCGGGGAAGCCUGGGAGCAAAUUGUGUUUGCAAAGAAGAAAAAAAAACUAACCUGGGGAAACCUUGCAGAGUAAAUAGUCUUCACUGCGAUGUUAAAAAAAAUCUGAUUGGGGAGUCAAAUUGUGUGAAGUUUCAGCCCCCGCAGAAGAAAGAAAUGUUUUCAAAGUCGAUUUGAUGUCUCAAAAGAAAGAUGUUUCCAAACCGAAACCUUCCAGCUAAGCAGGGGGAGAAAAAUUGAGUCGCUCACAAAAAUUGAGAAAAUAGUAUUUUUUGGGAAACAGUGGAAUGUACUAUUGAGGAGGAAGAGGAGGAGGAAACAGCAGCUUGCAAUAAAGAAAAUGUGUGCAUGUACAUGGAAACAAACAAUCAAAAAUACAAAUGGGGCAGUUUCAUCUCCAAGAUGAAUAAACCAGUUCAUUGCAAAAUACACACUGUUAUUUGUGGAAAAGUAUCGUUGUCGCUGAAACAUCAAUUCAGUUUUUUAAAAGGAAGCAGUUCAUUGUGACGCAAAAGAGGUUCUUAACAUGAAAAGUAAGAGACGACAAAAUAUGACCUCGACCUGAGAGAGAAAUUAUUUGCAGAGACAUCACGUCACUUGAAGCCAGCAACACUUUAGAAAAGUUCUUUUCGUAUCAGACAAAAAGUUCUCAUGGAAUUUUUAAAAAUUAUUUUAAAUACUGGACAAUCGAGUCAUUUUUAAAUUUGUUUUCGUUCUUAAGUAUUUCAAAUAUAUCUUUGAUAAAAACUGUUGUGUUCCUGAUGUAGAAAAAUGAAUGUUUUUAAACAAUCAAGUAUGAAGGCUUGACAUAGUCUACAGUAUGGCGCUAGUUCCACAUGAUAUCUACUGCCAGGGCUUACAUGUAGAAAGGUGAUUGCUAACCUCCAUUAGUAAUACUUAUUGUAUUUUGGUCAUCUGCAGUGCAUUUCCCUCCCUGAGUAAGUUUGGCAGUGUUACAUGUAUUCUGUAUAACCAUUCCAAUGUAAACCAUCAGCAAGGAUUCUACUGCUAGUAUGAACUUGUUGCCCUUGUAGUAGAGACUACUUGUAACUAGCCCAGGUGCUACUGUUGAACACACGGCAUGUCGAACCCUGUAAGGAAUAUUCAAGUUUCUUUCUAAGCUUUUCUUUUUAAAAAGUGGCUAUCCAUGACAUACGAUUUGACUUUUCCAGACUUGAGAAUGUGCAUUUGCUUUUAAACAGAAUAAUUGUAUAAAAAUUUCACGCAACCACCACUUUCCCAAGAAACAUUAUUUAUGUGCACAAAGUUAUAAGUGAUUGGAUAGAGUAGAUGAGAAAAAAAAAUUGAUUAACCCAGCUUAAGCCGGCAUUUAAAAUCAAGGGGUCAUAUAGCUUUUUAGGUUUUUUUUAAAUUUUGUCUUGAGUCGUGCAGGAGUUUAGGCUUUUUGAACUGUAUUUAUUUAUUAGAAGCAGUAAUUAUAUUUUGCAGUAUUUUCACUUUAAAGGCUGUGGAGUGUUCUUUUAGAACAGAUACCGAAGCCAUUCCCUGCCUGUUGACUCGAGCUGCCGGUGAGUCUGAACUGUUGUUAGCGUUUUUCCCACAUUAUAACGGUAUUGCGAUUUGUGUGCAUUCACUGUGGUCCCCUCGCAAGCUUUCUUCUCUGUAUUUUAAAGAUCAAUUUCUCCCCUAAGUAAGCCCCUCUUUAAAAAUUGUGAUGUGUUGUCCAAGUGUGUUGAAGCGUAGGAAUCAAAGCCAGGACAUUGACAUCAUGUUCACGAUUGAACAGCUUCCAGUUUGAAUGUAUUCUGAUGUAGACAGACAUAAACAAUGUCAAGCUCUUGUCAGCUUGUAGUCAAGGACACCUGGGAGAAACUGCUGAGCAAUAUAUAUAUAUAUAUAUAUCACUUUAACCCUGGUGGGUAAGUGAUUACCCGCACCAGGUCUGGGUCUGUUACACUUUGUAUAUUUUGGUUUUCUGUUCCUUAGCCUGAGGAGUCUGUGGAGAUAGUAGGAUGUGCUGUACAUAACCACGUUUGAGGUUGCCAUCCACCUGGGGCCAGUUUGCACCUUGUUUCUCCAUUUGACCUGUCAGAAAAGCUAUCUCAGCAUGUUGAUAAGCGGCACCCUUGUUCGGUACAGCAGUCUGCACACCCGCCAGUUAGCCUGCAGUACUGGUUAGACUCUGAGCUGAGCAGCUGCCGCUCGGAUUAAAUAGGUCAGAUGUGCUUUCAGUACAACCAAGAGAUUGCCUUUUCGGCAGCAUUGGGAAUACAGGGAAGGCUGACCUUCCAAGGCAACGCGAGCCAGGUUACUCGUUACGCAUGUCCGGUAUUCAGCAGAUCAUCUCACUCAGUAUGCUCUGUUCAAUAUCAACUUAUGUUUUUUUUUCAAGAAAAGUAACGUUACUCAAAACGAAAGUAUACAAAGUGAAUGGUCCAGAUAUUUUCCACUGUCAAGAGUAUCUUCUACAGACACAGUGCAAUAGCCUCAUUUAGCAAUCAUUUUAAAAUUAGUUCAGAGAGCUUGCAUAUACAGCAACCUUUAUGUGUCACUAUCGGUUCUGCUGUGUGGUGACAUAGUAUUUUUUUUAAAUUCUACACAGUGGGUAAUGAAUUUUAAAAAGGCUUUUGUUAAUGUGGGAUUUUUAAAAUCUCCUUCUGCUUUUUUUAAAAAACCGAUUGUAGAAUAUAUUUUAUACAAAUUUCUAGACUUGAUUUUAAGGCCUUUUUUAAAAAAAAAAAUGCAGAUGAAAGUUUCCUGAUCAAUUAUUGAGCCGUUUGGCUUUGUUCCCUUCGUUGCUAAUGAUGUGCAAGGCAAUCGAGCCAGUUUGGUGACAUUCCAAGUUCUGCGAGCUUACAUGUAAGCUGCUAAAACAGAAAUAGCUGAGCGUGAGUGGAAAGGACCCUUCGCUUGGCUUGCUCGGUGCACAUUGAACUGAAGGGCAAAGCCUCUUUUCAGUGUUCCUUUCUGAUUUCCUUUUAAAUGUGCAGCAACUUGAGGAAAAUGAAGGCUUCAAGGAGCCUCUUUGCAUAGCUGGGCAAUGGGCUACUGAACUUCACUGCGCUCCACUAGGACUGCAGUCCUAAUCCCAGUCUUUGGUUCCUAAGUUAAUGUCUCAGAUGGAUGGACAGCAUCCCCCCCCCCCACCACCACCAUGUGUCCCAGAGCUGCAGAUGUGGGAUGGGUGAUUGUCCGAAAGUGCCACUUCUGGUCUCUGCAAGUACUGAGGGUACUAUCUGUGGUGCUCGAGAUGCAGAACUAUUUCAGGUGCAACUCACUUUAUCUGAAGUUACCAGCCAGCACUCUAGGCUGAUUCUGUCUGAAUAAUAAGCUUCCUUUUAGGAGUCCAAAAGUGGAGUUUGGCUGUGGAAAUGUGAAGAUUGUCAGAAUGAGGGACAAUCUGAAUUUGUUGUUUGCCCUAUUCCUCUGUAUUGGAUCGGUGUUAAUGCACAUUUAAGAAAACUAGCUGAUCUUCUGCGGUCUAAACCACUUGAUUUGUUGGUGUUGAGCGGUGUGGAAAGAGGAAGCAGAAUGAAGAAAGAUGUGUCUCUCAUUGGAGAAGCCUUUUCAGAAUCCAGUUCAGGGGUGGGGGGGGGUUUGUGGGGGGGAAGAGAUAUGAUUAAUCUUGUACAUAUGUGUACUUAAUCCAGCCAUGAAAAUAAAAGAGAGCUGCAACUUAACAGAUUCUAUUUCAGAAAUAUCGUAGCCCUCUUACUGAGAAGUAAUGUAUAGAAGGGAGAGGGGGAAAAAGUCUUGUCGGCUUCUGUGGUUGUUGGUGUCUGAAUUACCAUGGGGUACCAUGCUGUUGGGUGUAAGUUGGUUAUGUAAGCAGAUCAGCGAGGCCUGCCCCUUCAGGCACCCUCAGUGAGUCCCAGCAAAGUGAUUGCAUAGCGCCUGGAGUCUAUGUUUUUAAAUAAACUAACCAGAUGUGUAGGUUGCAGAAUUUUAAGGAUUUUCUCAUUUCAAAAUAUUUUUUGAAAAUUGCAGUUCCCGUGCGCCCCUCCGUUAACUGAUCUUGAGACCAACUAGCCGAUUUCCAGCGAGCAGCUCCGUGGGUGUUCUGUGUGAUUAGGUUGAGCAGUGGCGAUUUGUACACUUUGAUGCCCGAGUCACUUGUUAAGAAAAAGAGACUCCUUACCCGGCUUGUCAGAUUCCUCAAAGUCCCGUGUCCUUAGACUGUGCUGCAAGUACUUGGAACGUGUCCGUGCUCUUUGGUUCGAGUGCUUGUGGCUCAUUGGUUAGUUCAGUCAUGCUCGGCCGAUGGGUAACGAGCUGUAAAGCUGCCUGGGCAUGUAACACCAGCGCGCAAGUGAAUACAGUGGGUUGUUGCUCGCCCCAUGCCUCCUGGCGCCUCUUGCGACCAAUUAUUGACCCUGUUGUAGGGAGCUGCAGUUUGGGAUUUCUCGUGCCGGACCUCCACCCUUGCAGUCCUCCUGAUCCUGAUCCCUCUUUGGGUUGUUAUUUGCCAACGUACACCUGGCCCGUGGGUAGGGGAGGUGCGUAUUUCUGAAGUAAUCACUCGAGCAGUUCAUCAGUGCUAUCGAGUAGAGCAGUGUUUAAGUGUUCAUGAUGUCCGGUGAUUUCACUCGUAAUGAAGUAAGCUUUUUCCUGCAUUUGUAAGUUUAAGCUGAAUCUUGACACAUGGAGAGAUACCAAUGUGUGUAAAUGAUGAGCUAGUAAUCUAUACUUAAAAGAUACAAAUUAUACUUGAUCUACUUUAGGUAUUUUGGUAAUUGACUAAAAUUGCUACUUUUCUUUGUCUUGGUUUGAGUGAUUCACAGUUCUGGUUUUUUUUGUUUUAUGCGUUAUUUAUAGUUUCUCCUGCUCCUCCUUUUCAAAACAUCUCAAUGUGUUAGCUGAGAGCCAUGCAGCCAGCUCCCACAUUCCUACUUGGAUUAUUCCAGCCAACAGUUGCUGAGACAGGCCAGUCCGAGUCGGUCUUUCAACGUUGCAUAUCCCUUUGUCGGUGAGUUUCAACAGGCGUGCAUGGACUUUCUCAGCAAGAAAUUACCUCAGACUGAAAGGCGCACACCAGGAUGCCCCUCUGCCACCAGACCCUGGUUGGCAGUGCCAGUGUGGUCCCCUGAAAGGUCUGAAGCUCAACAUUUUGAAGCCCAGUCUCCUUUGCUAGUCGCUGGGCCUGUUUGGAACUUUGGAAGGCUUUUACCAUGUGUUAGAAAGUUGUAAUCUCGCAUCCCCUGCAGCAGUUUGAUGACACGCUCGGUCUGGCAACCCCAGGGCGCAUGUCCCAUUCACUGCCGCUGCUGCUUUCGGACUCUGGUAUCUGCCAGUCUCCACCUUUACCCAUCAGCUUGUUGAGGAUGGCCCAAUCCUCAGCAUUCGGUGCUCCUGUUGCUGCCCGCUGCUUUGGUCUACCGUAAUCAUGUUCGCCAUAGAAGUCAAUCGCACGGAUGCCAGAGUCCAGCACCUGCCCCGGCACCUUUGGGGGUCUUUUUGCCCCCCCAUGGGUCGAGGCAGGUCCACCAGCUGAUUGAGUGAGUAAACUGCCCCGUUCCCCAGUUCCUGGGGCCAUUCUCGAAUGGUGCAAGUGUGUGCUAUUUCCCCCCGGGACAGCUCAUUUUAAAUCAUUUAACCCGCUUGUAUAUGGCAAGAAGAAUAAAAAAACAAGUUAGCAUAUGGUAAAUUGUUUAAAAAAAAAAGGGUUGAGCUUGCUCUCCAGGAGCACACGAGGCCACGUGUCCUCUGUUGGAGAGCAGCAACUCCACAUAGUUAAUGGUUGUGUCUUCAUUUUGUAAGUGACACUGCUAGGAAGGGGGGCAUGUUAGUCAUGGAACCAGAUGGGUAACGCUCAUUACCCUGUUAGCACGGCAUGGCCAGAAACCAUUCCUGCCUUUAAAAUGCAGUCAGUCGGAUUCAAGGCGCCAGGUCAUCUUAACUGGCUGGUGACCCUCCCAGUUUUCUUGAGUCUUACCCAGCUGACUUGCGGUUCUAAUGUUGUGCGCCUAGCUACCUCUCUGAUUUCUGUUGUAUUCCACUUGGAAAAAAAGAAAUGUACAGUCGCAUCUGCUUGUAUUGUUUUUUUGCCAUGUACAUUAGGCUCCGACUGAUACGCGGUUAAAUUAGUGGCAAGAUUUGUGAGAAGUUGCUUCGUGACAAAACAAAUGAUGAAUAUUGACAUAAUAUAGUUAAAUAUGUACUGUGAGUCUUUUUUUUAUAUAUAAUAGAUUUUUAAAGAGAUUUGAGUUUGUUACCCACUUCUGAUCAUUGUGUGACGCUGUAUCAAUGGUCUGUGUGCUUAAAGGUCAAGGAAAAAGGUUGGGUCGGUUUUAUUUGGUGAGGAAAGGUCAGGCAGCAAAGGUUGAAAGCCCUGCCUUUGUGAUUUGGCUGGUAUUGUCUGCCUUUCUGUAAAGAAUUGAUAUUUCCAUGGGUUGAAAACAGCUGGGGGGGCUUCAUUUCCAGGCUGCUGAUCUUGAUAGUCUGUCAGCAAACAAGAUUCUGGAUUUCUACAUCUUGCCUGCUGCUCACUCGUACUCUCAGAUAGGGCAUCCUUGUCGAUGUGCCACAAGUAUCCCCUGUACUCACUCUCAGGCCCUCUGCCAGCCGGUCUCUCGGUCGGAGAGGGGGCUUCUGUGCGAGGUUAAAGUGAUUCUCGACUCUCAGGAGCUUAGCCUAGCUCUGGUACCUUAUCCAGGAGAGGUUCAAGGCUUCCUGUUUAUAUUGGUCAGGCGGUUUCACAUAUUCCAGCACAGGUUUGAAUCCGAGGUGUGGGUUCUCCAGGUGAUUUGGAACUGCACUGGAUGCCCGAGUCUUGAGUGGGAGGGGGAUGGCAGCCUCAACGGGAAAUGAAAGUCUGGUAGCUGAGGACAAACCCAAGCUUCCAAACAACAUGCCUGAGGGUUUGGCCCAAGUUUCAGACUGAUUGUCUGUGUGUUAUGGUAGCCCAAGACUGUGCGAUCCAAAACCACUCAACUUGCUUCAUCGUUUCAAGUGAUGAAGAUCUUUCCAAACAUAGAGCAGACUUCUUCACCUCAGAGGUCUCGGUGUGUUUUUUUGAACCAUGAUAAUUGUUGGAGCACCAGGUUGUAUUCGGCCUUGGUCAGUCAGAUAUCUUAACAUUUGCAAUUUGCUCAGUUUGAGUUUGACCAUUCUUCUGAUUGCACAAUUUCUUUUUUUUUUUGCUGUUUUAGUUUUAUUUUGGAAGAAUUUAAACCCGAAAGAAACAAAAGCUUUUUUACUUGACCUUUAAAAUGGGCAUUUAUCAGAAAAAGAAACACUAACUCUUGUGUGCAAACUAUUUCAAGACAACUUGACUAAACUGCCUUUUGAAUUCUAAUCAACCCCAUGUUCUGUUCACUUAGAAAGUUUGAAGUGCCUAUUGUGCCGAAUGGGAAAUUAGGCUUGUCAAACAGAAAAGCCUGGAUGUGUAGAGGAGAGUAAUAUGGCAUCCAUCUUUUGCAUUAAUCGCUUAAUCCUUGCACCCACUUCAGCUCAAUGUGAAGAGAUUGCUGCGUUGGUAUAAGUAUUUCUGGAUUUGCUGUUGAUAAGUGUGCUAACUUACUCCUAGUUAUGACAGAAAGCAUGAGCAGAAACCUGGUACAACACAGCCAUGGGGAAGGGGGUUGGGGGGGGAAACAAGAGGGCUUAUGGUAUUACCGUUUGCCUCUUCCUUCCAUGAAUUUGGCACAAAAAAAGCCCCAAAACGUCACUCACUGUCCUAACAAAAUGGGAAGCUGGCGUCCUGUUGUGCGCAAAAGGGGGUCUCUGAGCUCUGACCACGGAAUCCGAACCCUUUCACCCGAGCGAAUGUCUAAUCCCUCCCUCCUCCUUCCCUCAUUGACACGAUUAACAGGCUCCUCCUGACCUCGCAGGUAGUUUUCAUUUCAAACACUAACGGGACCCACCCAGCCUCCGGCGGGUGAGUUGGAAAGCAGCGAAAUCUCUUGACUUGCAUUGAGCGCCUUGCACUUUAUUACAGCUCGUUGAGUGUUGCGUCCCUCCCCACCCGCCCCCCCACCCAGCAGUGGGUCGCCCACCGUGCCGGCGUUGGCCAGCUCGCUUAGCCCCCAGCCAGAAGAGCACAAACCCCGUGAAGGGCCGCUUUGGAUGGUGAAAUAGCCUUCCCCUUUCCCACCCAACAACCCCCCCCCUCCUUCCUCCUGAAAGCGGCAGGUGGGCUAACUCGGGGGCCCAAGUGAAGCGAGCAAGUGGGAGAAAGGAAACAUAAACAACACAAGUCCUGACGUACGAGUCUGUCUUUCCAGACAAAUGUUUAUUUUUUUACAUGGAGCAUUGUUGAAUUUGUGCAAAAAAAAAAGAUAUAUUAUAUUCCGUUUUAAAAAUGAAUCAUAUAAACCCACUCCACUGCAUUUUGAGACGUUGAGGGGUGGGCUCGGGAGGGGGGAGGGGGAUGUUUGCCGGCGUGCAAGCCUUGCAGGGGCCACCCUCCGGUCCGGAAAGUCGAGCCCAGUGCAGCAUCCAUGACUCCCUCCCUUCCUCGCCCCCCUGCCGCACUGCACAGGCGUCAGGUAGACCAGGGCAUUGAGCAAAGGGCUGCCCCAUACUCAAGAGUGGGCGGUAAGGCGCACCUCCUGUUAGGGGUUGGCCUUUUGUGGGAACGAAAAUGCUCUUGUUUAACAAGUGCCGCUUAUUUAAACAAAACCCACGUGGUUUCUCGAAAACAAAAUUGAGUCCCAUUUUUCAUCCUCCCUCCCAAGCGGGAGUUAAAUCAGUGAGAUCCCAUGAGCGCUUUAGAUGACUACUUUUUUGACUUAACUCUGAUGCUGAUAUCAGGGUCUUCACUUUUGGUGUUAUUUUGUUACAGUUGGGUUUGAAGUAGAGAGAGAGAGAGUGAGUGAGUGCUACCAAAUUAAGCCUGUGACUUUCCAAGAAACACAACUUUUCCUGCUGUGGUUUUAAUGUGUUGCCUCAUUAAAAAAAAACUAAAAAUCCUAAAUUGAGCAGUGACUUGCUGUUUGUAAAGUGUAUCUGAAACGUAAUGUGCAUGACGUUGCAUGGGGGGUGCACAGAUAUUAAUUCUGGGCUUGCACGCUGGUGUAAGUGAGUGCUGCCUGUUGAACAGUGUGCAGUAUUUAUUCUAACUCCAGUUUUUUUUUUGUUAACAAUGAUCCACCUUUAUUUGUUACUAAUAAAACCGGCAUUGCAAAGGAAA